GUGGCUGGCCUGAUAUCUCUGUGUACGGUGAUUCCAUGUUCCGUACGUCGAGACCUCAGGUUGAUCCCU
rnacentral:precursor_RNA from 1 species